AGCCCAGCCCUGCCCCCACCAGCUCUGCCGGUUUUCUGACUUUUAAACCAAGCCUUGUACUGCGGAUAAUGUUCAGCGUUAUGCCCGGGGGGACAAAGACUCUUUCCCUGACCUGUGGAUUAGACGGUUUUACAAUUAGCUUUAAUCCAACAUGGACACUUGAAUGCGGGGGCGGGGAAACGUUGUUCUCUUUUCUGCCCUUAGCCUGAGGGCCGCCCUGAACUGGACUGAACUUGCUGGUGCCAGACACCUCUGAGCGGAAGGAGGGGUGAGGACAGGGGAGUCCCUGCUGGGAGGUGUGGAGUCUACCUAAGGGUACGUCUACAUUACCCGCCGGAAGGGCGGGUAGUGAUCGAUCUAUUGGGAUCCAUUUCUCACGUCUAGUGUAGACGGGAUAAAAUCAGUCCCCGAUCGCUCGGCCGUCGGCUCCGAACUCCACCGGGGCGAGAGGUGGAAGCAGAGUUCACGGGGCCCCCCGGCUGCCGGAGGCUCAGACUCCCUCUCCCUCCCAGCGCAGCGGCCGCUCCGUCCCACGCGAUUCUUCUCAUUGCCGACGUGGGCGCCGGGGGCCGGGCAGAGCUAUGCAGCUUUGCUUAGCGCACGUGGCACGAGCCCCGCGACAGCUGACAGCAGGGCUUCUGGAGCAGAGAGCUUGUGAGGUUGUUACCAAGUUUCCAUCCAUUCCCAUCAGCCAGCAGCACCUGGAACCAGAGUGAGGGACCAAUGGAUCCCUGUGCCUCGAUUUCCACCAGCCCGGGGGUGCUGAGCGUGGGGAACAUGGCCAAGCUAAAUCUUCUCCACAGUCUGUGAUGCUGAGAAGAGAGGAAAGCGCAGAGCGUAUCUCGUCUCUUCGGAUCGUCCCCGGCUGGGGAUCCAGUCAGUAACCUCCAGAGCGAGGCUGAUGUACCCCGAGGGCUUGAAGUGAAGAACCAUCUUCUACAGCAGGGAGCUGAAG